rnacentral:ncRNA from 21 species
CCGCUACUUCUCCAUCCAGUUCUUUGCGAGCUUGGAAAAGUGGGUCGGCGCAAGAAAUCCCGUGCGAAUCGGGAGCAGUUGCGCUGCUGUAACUGGAUACGACUUCCCAAUUGGGCCAAUCCUCGAAAUUUUUCGGGGGUGAAGGCGGGAAGAAGGUGAUUCCGACCGAGAUCGGAACAUACGCCAGGAGCCAGAAUAUUUGUCCGGUCCACCUCAUUCGGC